UACAAGCUACGAUGUUCGUAAUCAUAAUAAGUUUUAACCUCUAAUGUAAGAAUAGGGAGUUUUAGAUCGGAGCUCUAAUGUCGGGCCGCCAUAGAGCGGAAGACAGGAAGGCUUCUGCAAACACCCACUUUGUGAAGUGGUGGUUUAAAACUUUUGUAUAACAAUUACGGCAAUUGUGGCUGUUAA
rnacentral:other from 1 species